UAACCUGCCCAAGAGAUCGGGAUAACACCUGGAAACAGAUGCUAAUACCGGAUAACAACAGAUGAUGCCUAUCAAUUGUUUAAAAGAUGGUUCUGCUAUCACUCUUGGAUGGACCUGCGGUGCAUUAGCUAGUUGGUAGGGUAACGGCCUACCAAGGCGAUGAUGCAUAGCCGAGUUGAGAGACUGAUCGGCAACAUUGGGACUGAGACACGGCCCAAACUCCUACGGGAGGCAGCAGUC
rnacentral:rRNA from 1 species